AUGCUCACAAAGGCGCAGUGGAUCGCCCUUGAAAAGCAAGGCGGAUCCACAAGGAGCAGCAAGAAGAAGGGCAAGCAGCGCUCGACGAGAAAGAACUUCGCUGACUCAGAUGACGACUCAGACAAUGGGGCUGCACCGCCACCGAGGAGAAAGUUUGACAUCAAGAAAAUGAGGUGUUAUAACUGUGGCCUCCUCGGUCACUUCAAGGCUGACUGCGAGGAAGCACCGACGCAGAAGGCGCUCAUGGCCCAGCAAGGAGAUGAUGGUGACAUGAUGUUGAUGAGCGAACUUGUGGACGAGGAGGACCCAGUUCUUCAAGUGUCGGCUAAGGAAAUUGUCGCGCUCCCUGAAGAAAAGAUUCACUCUCAAGAUCAUGGUUCGGAAACUCGUGUCGAUACUGCGGACGCGGGGGGUGAUUCCGAAGCUUACAUCGAUGUUACGGGCAUAAGUGCUAACUUCGCUGGAGUGGAUGCAGCGAUUGCCGCGUGUGCUCGGCCGUGGAGAAGCAGCCUUGUUACAGAUCUGAGAAACACGAAUGUCACUUCGGUGUACGUGGCACCUGAAGAGCACGAAUCAAAGUAUGCUGAUGUUGAGGUGAACAAGUACGCAGCGAUUAUGUCAAUGGAAGAUAGUGCAUCCGGUCGUGCGGCUAGCUCGUGUGUAUUGGAUGCUAGUGCAAGUAGUAUCCCACGAAGAAAUAUGGGAGCAUCUUGCGUUGGGCCAAUAACGAGCAGGCCAGAGAGAGGCAAUAGUAGUGAUGGCUGUUGCAGCCCACGUACGGGCAAUAGUAGUACGUGGACGCGAGCAGGUGGCCGAGACGAGAUGCGAUGGUGUGGUCGGUGCAGCGUGGAUGGCUAG
rnacentral:rRNA from 1 species